GGUCAAGUGAAGAAGCGCAUGCGGUGGAUGCCUUGGCAGUCAGAGGCGAUGAAAGACGUGGUAGCCUGCGAAAAGCUUCGGGGAGUCGGCAAACAGACUUUGAUCCGGAGAUGUCUGAAUGGGGGAACCCAGCCAUCAUAAGAUGGUUAUCUUGUACUGAAUACAUAGGU
rnacentral:rRNA from 1 species